rnacentral:lncRNA from 1 species
GCCGUCCCUGGGGAGGGAAGCCAGUGGUUAGCAGACAGGACUUCUGUCUGUCCCUUUACAUGGGCACACAGUAACCAAGCAAUUACAAAGGAUUGUUAAACUGUGCAGCAGAUGGAAGAAGAGGAAGCUAAGGCAGCGUCUCUCCUUACUAAGAAUAAAACUGGAAGCGUGAGAGAGGCUCAGCUAACCAAGUUUCUGCAAGAGGAGGCGUUCAGGGCCCAAGCAGGUCAGCACGUGGUCCAGGUUGGUGCUCCUGUAAGGAGAAAGUCGGGAUGAGUGAGGCCAGAGCCUGCAGGGAGCCCGUCUGGCCAAGAAUCACUAUGGGGUGCUCUGGCUGCGGGUUGGCGGCAGGCAUCUUGCAGGCCUGUGAUGCAAGACCAGGAAACAAAGGGAUUGGGACACCGGUGGCCUCCGUCCUCACUAAAGCUACUUGCUCUCUGGAACUUGAUAGAACCAACACUGGUUUGGAGGAUGAUGCCUGAGAUUCCACCAGCCCUUGGGAGUCGGGCCAGGACUGCUACGAUCUUGUCUCAAAAGAACAACACGGAGACAGUGAGAUGGCUCAGCAGGUACAAGCGGCUGCUCUUGCAUGAGGACCCGAGUUUGAUCUGCAGAUCCCACAGUGAAAGAAGAGCCAAUUCAAGAUUGUCCUCUGACCCCAACUAAAUGUGACUGCCAUACAGGGAGAAGACAGUUCACAGAUCAUAAUAAAACCUAAAAGGAAACCUAUCUACAUUAAGAUAAAGACUAUAAUAAAGAUGAUAUGUCAAGUUGAAAAAAAAAAAAAAAAAAAA